ensembl:lncRNA
AUGAGAAUCCUUGUCCUCUAAAAUGUCUUGGCUGAUUGAAGAACUAUCCCCUGGAAUGUCUUCCCAAAUGAUUGCAGACACUAUCAUCUGCAUGGAAUACUUAAUGGUGUAUCUGGUGUGACUGAUGGAUUUGAGUGCCUUGACUUGAAGGCGUAGAGCACAAGACUGCAUUGCCCUCAUUACUCUGAUAAAAGCUGAGGUGGCAGAAAGCGUGGGGUAGAGUCUUUCAUCCUAACAUAAAAAGUCCAUCUUUCACUGAGAAUGCCCACUAUUGUCUUCAAGACUGAAGUUCAACUUCUGCAAGGAAGAACUAUGACCAGGAGCUCCUGUGAUGUGACUGCCUUCAUUUGUCACGGUGGGAGAUUGGUAACCAACAGUGGAAAAGUAUUCUGUCAAAGGAGUACCUUUAUGGAGAGGAAUAUGAGCCUGGGGAAGGUACAGUGUCACCACUUCCAAGACAGAACUCUGCAUGCUUGCUUUCCUUUAUUUUUCCUCUGUAAGAAUGACACUUUAUUUAUUCCUUGUGCUGUAUAUUUAUAAUGAGGUCCCGUGGCUUACCACAGUCAUCCUUUCUCUCGGCUAUAAGGAAUUAGUUCUGCUGUUGUGUAACUGUUAGGCCAAACAUCUCUGUAAAUUAGUACUCUGAAGAUGAUGGCAGUUGAAUUUGCUUACAAGUCUGAAAACAAUGUAUUUUUCUCAGUGUAUUUCUAAAUAUGGGAUUUGUCAGGCACUGAGAUCUGAAAAUAUACUCUAUCUAUAGUGCUUUAUACAAUGAUUCUGUUACACUACUGUUACCAGCAUGUUAAAAGGAGCUGCCUGAUUUGAAGCACAGAUGUUUUGAUUCAGUGUAUUUAUGUCUACAAAGUGUCCUGGGAGUUCUGUGUUUACACCAUGUUCAAUUGGUUUGCCUAAUACUCUGAAAAUAAAUUAGUGAAUGCAAAUCUGAAUCUAUCCUACCAGAAAUAAAAGUGAAUAAAUUGUUAGUCUGUUUAAUUUUUAGUCUUUAGUGUCUGGGCAGUACUACCUGCAGAUUUUUUUGAAUGCCAGUCACUAAAUAUUAGAAAAUUGUACAAGAAUUUUAGUAAUACAUCUCAUACAGAAAUGCCUAGGUUUGUGAAGCAUGUAGUAUUGACCUAUAUGUAUUUUCCAAGCUUAUGAACUUUACAGCAAAGAACAAGUUGCCUUGCACAGAAACAGGAUUUCAAUUUUGAACCUGUACAAUAGUGCUCACUUCAAAAAUUUUCUUGUAAUUUGUUAGUGUGUAUACUGAAGCACGACUGGAUCUGUACCAGAGAUGUGAAUCUCAACAGCAUCUCCUUGUGUUGAAAACACCUACAUAAACAUUUCACGAUACAUUUCUUAGAAAAUUUUUAAACAUGGCAUUUUCUUUGUAAUAAAUAAUUAAA